rnacentral:rRNA from 1 species
UACGUAGGGCGCGAGCGUUGUCCGGAUUUAUUGGGCGUAAAGAGCUCGUAGGCGGCUUGUCGCGUCGGGGGUGAAAACUCAGGGCUUAACCCUGAGCCUGCUUCCGAUACGGGCAGACUAGAGGUAUGCAGGGGAGAACGGAAUUCCUGGUGUAGCGGUGAAAUGCGCAGAUAUCAGGAGGAACACCGGUGGCGAAGGCGGGUCUCUGGGCCGAAACUGACGCUGAGGAGCGAAAGCGUGGGGAGCAAACAGG